rnacentral:tRNA from 1 species
UAUAUUUUAGUGUAUGAUGCACGAGGAAUUUUGAAUUCCUUAGAUUUAGUUUAAAUCUAAAAAAUAUAA